AUCUUGGCAAAAUAAGCUUUCUAAAUUAACUGAGAUCUGUCUCAGAUUUUCUGGGUUCACACCAUUAUGAAAGAUACACAGAAAAUAUGAUAAGUACUACAUGAAUGUGCUUAUAAGAAAAGAGGGAAAAACAUUGGAGGCCAACAUUUAGAAUUUACAGAGAAAACAAACUGGCUUUGCAAGACAAAACAGGAUUCACACGGGCAAAGAAACUAACAAAGACUUUCCUCCCAAAUUGAGGGAAAUAGUGUUAGCAAAGGUGUCAAGGAGAACAAACCAUCUUUAGAGCACUUCAGGGAUUUGAUAGAUCUUCUUCUGGAGUAGUUUCCAUUCACUCAACACACAAGCACUGCCUGAACAUUUUACUGUGUGUCAAGGACUAUGCUAGGUGUCAGGUGGGGGGUGUCACCCAGAACUGAUUGAGGUUCAGCAUGAUCCCACAGCUAGGAAGUGCCCUUUUCCCCUGCCCUGGCCGUGGGGUAGCACUGAAUGUGUCUCAGCCAUUCUUUCAGGCAUUCCUGGUGUUUUUUCACCUGAGCUGAACUUGACUAUAAUCUUCAUGGCCAAGAAUGUGACUUAUUUUUUUCCUCUGCAUCCUUCUUCCCUCCUUGCAGGCUCAGGGAGAAGGACUUGGUAGAAUAGGUGACACUUACUUCAGUGACCUCUAUUGCCCAUUUCUUCACUCCUUCCUGGCCUCAUCAGAGCCUGCUGUCCUCUCUUCCUCUCCAUUAUUUUCAGCUGUUCAGAGCCUUUCACUGUAUGAAAACUGGUCUCAGGGGAAAACCAGUCUGUGAUGAGUCACUUUCUCUUGAAUAUGAAUGUAGGUCCCUGUGUUCUCUCUUCUGGAGGUCUUUGCACUUUAAGCCUCGUUAUGGAAUGAAAGGCUGUGCUCACUGUGAGAGGAUAUCAGGCACAGACAAGUGGGGAGGCAAAGUACCUUUCCUGCUGCUCCUGAAACCAGCACCUUCUCACUUAGCCAGUCCUGGUGAGGGUCGUUAGAGGCCCAUGAUUCAUGAGAGUCUAGAGGCUUCAUUGCUUUUUAUCAUGAUGUGGUGGUUUAAAUCAGACAGUGGCUCUCUGUAAGCCACCUGUCAGCUUGGCCAUCAUACACUUUACUCCAAAGUUUAAAGCUUUAUCAUUUGCAGAGAGAAUCCUAGCUUCUUUAUCUAUAUGUGUCCAUUAUUUUAAGGUGCGAUUCUCAACCUGGGCACUACGAAUGUUUUGGGCUGGAUAAUUUUUUGUUAUGGGCUGCCAUCCAGUACAUUGUAGGAUGCUUAACAGCAUCCCUGGCCUCCACCCCCGAGAUGCCAGGAGUACCACACACUGCCUCACUCCUCAAGUUGUGACAACCCAAAAUGUCUCUAGCCGUUGCCAAGUAUCCCCUGGGAAACAAAAUCACCUCUAGUUGAGAACCACUAUUCUGAGGGGUAUUGGUUAUUAUGUAUCAUGCCAUAUAAGAGAGACCUUAUCUAAUGUAACUCUAUUCUUUUCAAUGAAGAGGAACUAAUAAAUGUGUAAUUAACAUCAUGGAACGUUUCAUAUAAAUAAUUUUAUAAAUCAGAAUAAACAUCCUUUUUUCAGACCUCAUAUCCUAAUUUGGUUAUUAUAUUAAGUUCAUCUUUUGAAGCAAAAAACUGAAAUUCUUCUAGUGUGGCUGAUUUAUUAUACCAGAACUGUGAGUAGCAGAACCACCAUUACCCACAAGAUCAUCCCAACCUUCUGCUUGGGCAGUGCCUGGUGGCCAUCAGUGGGGGAGGAAAAUGGCAGGGGAGGGUUCAGUUCUGGUGGACUUGGUGCUUAUGUGAUUUGACAGGUCCUCUUUAAGGAAAAGACAAAAUGAUGAGGUGAACACAUUGCUGGGACCCCUCCCAGGCCUUGGAAGGGUCCUGUGAGGACAAGUGAUGAGCUGUGAAUUUAAGUUUCAUUAGCUUCUUGGGAAAGCCAUCUUUGGGAAAGGUUUUGAGGAAUGACUGGACAGCUAUGUCCGCAAGAAUAGGAAACUAGGAACUUUGUUCUACCUAUGACUGCUAGGAGCGAAGAGAAACUUCUCAAAGUGUUGACUUAAAUUGAGAGCAUGGAUCAAAAUGGAAUUGUUCCAGGUGACCUGUACUUCUGUUAACAACUGCCCUCAAAAGUAAAAAUGUCCAUAUCUUCAACAACCCCAGGUCCACAUCAGCAGCAUCUUUAUGGGUGAAACGAGGAGCAGGGUGAGUUCCAGCUUAGCAGGAGGCUCAGUAGGUAGUAGUAACUUAUUGCACUUUGUAAAUGAGAUUGGUCAGUGCCCAAGUUAUUGCUUCAGAAAGUGAAUGAAACUCGUUUUCAGGUCACUCUAAUGGUAUUUGAAGAGCUUAUAAUAGGAGUACAUUGAUUCAAACUUCUUUUUUGGAAUACCUGAGCCUGAGAUGAGACAACCUUGCAUUAAAACAGGCCAGGAAGGAAAUAUUUACCCUCUCAUUUUGGCAGGCAAGUAAUUUAAGUACAAUCAUGUGCUACAUAAUGACAUUUCAGUCAAUGAAGGCUGCACAUAGGACUACAGAACUGUAAGAUUAUAAUAUUUUUACUGUACCUUUUCUGUGUUUGGAUAUGUUUAGGUACACAAAUACCUUGUGUUACCUGCUUACCAUAUUUGGUGCAGUAGCAUGCUGUACGGAGUUGUAGCCUAGGAGCAAUAGGCCAGGCCAGAUAGCCUAGGUGGGUAGGCUAUUCCAUCUAGGUUUGUAUAAGUACUAUAAGAUGUUCCCAUAUAAGGAAAUCUACUAAUGAUGCAUUUCUCAGAUGAAUUCCCAUCAUUAAGUGAUGUAUGACUGUAUGAACUUAAAAACGUAAAAUAAUAAAGCUUUAGAAACGAAAAAAUACAUUGGUUCAGUUGAAGUUGUCCCAAGUGGGACAACUGGAAGUGGGGCUUCCAGGUCAUAGGUAGAUUUAAAAUUUUUCUGGUUAACAAUUGGUUGAGUUUGAAGACCUGGGAUCAAUAGAAAGGAAAUGUCUGGGUUAAGAUAAAGUAUUGUGGAGACCAAAGUGCUUAUUUGCAGAGGAAGCCUUCAGGUAGUCCAAUUUAACUCAUAUAAAUGUUUCUCUAUAAUUAGGUGUUGAUUUUCUCCUCCUAUAACUCUUUUCAAGGCUUUUUCUUUGUCUAAUUUUUUUCUGGUUUGAAUGUAGUAUGCUCAGGUGUGAAUUUGGGGGUAUUUAUGUUGCUUGGCAAGUUCUGAGAUUCCUGAAUAUGUGUUUUGGUGUCUCACUAAUUUGGGGAAAAUUAUCAGUCCUUAUUGCUUCAAUUCUUUUUCUGUUUCUUUCUGUUUUUUCUUCAGCUAUUACCAUUAUGUGCAUGCUACACUUUUUAAGCCCUUUCUUUUGUGCCCUUGUAUUACCAUUUUGUGCUUUUGUGGAAAAGCAGUUUUUGUACCCUGUGUUUAGGUAGUGUGAAAUACCUUCUCCAUCAGGACGGGCUGAAGAACAACUUUUUGGAAGAGGUUUGGGGUCUAGGAGUCACUCUUCUCACACAUGAAAUGGGGGCCAGUGACACAGAAGUUCUUUCCCAUAAGGAGCUCCUGCCAGUUACUCGGGUUGUUAGGAUGGACACACACCGGCCAUGUUCUGAAGCGGCUUACAUGCUGGGGCCUCUGCUCUGCCAAAGGGACAGACUUCUCUGUCAUCACUCCCCAGACGCUGGAAGAAAGCCACAGCCAUGCCAGGAGUGGAGCCAGGGAGUGCAGGACACGGCAGCAGCAGCCACAUAGGAUGGGCUGUCUACACACAAGAGAUUUUGGCAUGUUGAAUGGGCACCAUGGUGAUCUACAGUCUUCAAGAACAGUACACUUAUACCUUCAGUAAGAACUCCAGCUUCCCUGCAGCUUUAUUUCCUGAAGGGGUCAUGCUGACCAGAGAGGCGGCCACACUGAGCUUCCGAACCACCGUCCCCGCAGCUUACAGCUCUACAAGAGCUCCUUCCGCGAGGAAUACCUUCCAGUUGUUCUCACCUUAAAUGCUGCUCUUCAUCCAUCGGUAGCUGGGAAGUCGCUCGUGUCAUCCCUGCAUGAAACAGAGAAGUGGAGCGGGAGUUACCCAGCCUGUGCCCCACCAGGGCUUUUUCAGGCGUGCACAUUGGAGAGCAAAACCAGCCUUCAACCUUGCCUCAUGGCACAUGAGAGGAGAAACUUCUGGAAGCACCUCCACACUCUCUGAUAGGAUCUGGCAUAGGCAACAAGAGAGUUGUAAAGUCAAGAGUCUAUCUGUGAAGGAGACCAUUGUGUGGGUAAAGGGUUUAGAUAUUGUAGUAAACCACUUCUCUCUUUUCCAUGUUCCUUGAUUAUAGCAGAAACAUUAGGAAAGAAAUCCUGGUUGUGCAACGAAAAACAAAUUAUGCAAAUGUCAGUAAUACAUUAAAAUGCAUUAAAAUAAGUCACAGUGAAAGAAGUUAUAAAAAAUGUUUUCAAGGUUCAUCUGUGUUGUAAGAGGUAUCAGAACUUCACUCCUUUUCAUGCCUAAAUUAUAUUUUAUUGUAUGUAUAUACUACAUUUUGUUUUUUGAGACGGAGUAUUGCUCUGUUGCUUA